GCCAUGUUUCACUCUAUUCAUGUCCUCUGUGGUGAAUUUUCUCGUACUGCCGAUUGGACCUUACGUUACAUUCAGCAUGCGUCACUUCAUGUACCAACUGUGUACGUGCCAUUCCGCCUGUGUACCUCAGCUUUAAUGUCUCACAGAUUGGAUGCUUCUUAAGAGCAGGGUCCAUUUAUGUUAUGUACUCUUCGAAACGUCUGUACUGCCUUUUCCAAUGUCCAUGCUUCCGUGUCUAGGCUUGUUUUGGGUAGGGCUGGUGUCUGUUAAAUCUGUAUAAUGUAUGCUCCCCAGGGCUUAGUACAGUGCUCUGCACACAGUAGGAGGUCAAAUCCUGUCAACUGACAGACCGAGUGACAUAGAUUGUGAACUCCCAGUGGGCAGGUACUGCGUCUUCGACACCUAGUUGGCCAAAGAGGCCGGGGUGUGGUGUCUCUCAAGUCCGACCAGACUUGGAGCAGGGGAGAGGAACAAGCCUGAAGGAUCAGAUUGGGGCUGGAUAAGGCUCAUCUCCUCCAUGAGCCCUUCCCUGAUUCAGUCCUUCUUUCCUUUUUUUCAGCUGUCUUCUGCAUGGCCCUAACUUACAGCCUUUAUUCAUCCCUCUUCCCAGCCUCACAGCACUUCUGUACAUAUCCGUGGUUUUAUUUCUUUAUGCUAAUGCCUGUUUCCCCUCUAGUCAGUAAUUUUCAGGGCCUUGGCUGCAUGAGGAGAAAAUGGAGAAGCCCAACUUAUUUCUGCCUCCCUGGAGAAGCUUUCCAGACCAGCCCUUUCAGAGGACCAGUGCAGGAGCCUGAGCCCCUGAUGCGUCACGGGAGACCUGGCCCCCUCAUCCAUCCCUACCUCUCCGAGGACGUCGGGGUGCGGACAGACAGGAAGGAAGCCGCGGCGCUGACCUGAACCGGACCUUCGGACCCCUGGACGACGGAGGACCGGCCGGCCACUCUCGGGAUGCCACCAGCACCGCACCGGCCCGCCCGUGAGGGCGUCGGUUGGCACCGAGCUGCCCCCCCCCAUGGCCACUCUAUCCCACCCCCAUACCACGAUUGUAUCCCCUUCCUGCAGACAAUGCCAUUUCCUUUGGGUAGGGGUCAAGGGUCAAACACUGCAUCAAGGGUUCCACACGCAUCUCUGGCAAUUCCUGGAAGUGAUGGAUGUUCUUGUGACUGUGGUGUGAGAACGAGUGUCGGGACCAGAUCAGGGUGAGGGGGCCGCCCCUCUUUGGACGGGGUGACGGGUUCUGGAAACAGGGGCCAAGGGUUCGGGACAGGUGCUCUGACGAUGGACCUCCAGACUUGGGGUGAAGCUGCCUGGGGCCCUUAAUUCUGUAGACAGAGCGGCUUCCUCCGGGUCCGUCCAUCUGAAGUGAUCUGCCCCUGCUCUGGCUUCAAGAGUACAGACUCGCCUGCCCGCCCGAGGGGGGUGCCCCAGGGGGAGCGGGGUCCAGGGACAGAAAUAGUCGGGGGUGUGUGUGUACCUGCGUGGAUGUGUGUGCGACUGCUGUGUGUCAUCCAUCUCUCCUGGAGGAGCCGAAUGACGGGAGGGGAGCAUCAGUAGCAAAGUGGGAAGGUGCAAAGUGGUUUCCCGUGGCACGCUACCCAAAGAAAUGGCACAGUCUGGCCCCCUCCUUCCCUCUUCCUGUCCCCUUGGCAGCUUGGCCUCUGUCAGGCCACAUGUGUCUGUAUGGAAUAAAAUGUCUGUGUGUUGCAUCA